CCGGCCCCGGUCCGAGCGCGGGUUGCCGCUCCCCGACAGCCAUUUUGGGGGUUAGACACCUCGCUCCCCUCACGCCCGCCUCCAAAGUUAGGGAAGCGGGAAGGGGGCCGGGAGCGGGGAAGGAGAGCUCGGGAGAACGACGACAAAGUGGCCGGAGCAGAGCCCGGCGAACAAAGAACUUCUCGCCCAAGUGGUCCCACAGAUUGCUCCCCUGGUAAUAAGAAAGAAGUCUGAGAAACCAUAAAUGAAUGUUACCACAAACGUUUUCCAUCAGGUCAAAAAGAUAAGGAAGCCACUACACUCAACUCGCAUCAAAAUUAAGACAGACAAGAGAUUUUAAAACUGAAGAGCAGACAGAAUGCUUUGAGCUCUACUUAUGAGAAACAAAAAAGGACUCCUGAUGCAUUCCUGAGCAGUGAAAGCCUAGAGAGAGGGGAAAUACAGAAACAACAACCAAGGUUUCUGCCUGUGCCUCUCUGAAUGGUCAGGCAGAGCAGAAAGUAAAAACCAACGGAGAGUGGGUAACAUUUGCCAUUUGAAACAUAUUGUAAAUGUUUCAGCACCUUGACAAUGAAGCACGUAACAGAAGCUCAGAGCAUCCAGGACCC